UACGAAGGGGGCUAGCGUUGUUCGGAAUUACUGGGCGUAAAGGGCGCGUAGGCGGCCGACCAAGUCAGAAGUGAAAGCCCUGGGCUCAACCCGGGAAUUGCUUUUGAAACUGGUAGGCUUGAGUUCGAGAGAGGUGAGUGGAAUUCCCAGUGUAGAGGUAAAAUUCGUAGAUAUUGGGAGGAACACCAGUGGCGAAGGCGGCUCACUGGCUCGAAACUGACGCUGAGGCGCGAAAGCGUGGGGAUCAAACAGG
rnacentral:rRNA from 1 species